rnacentral:rRNA from 1 species
UACGAAGGGGGCUAGCGUUGCUCGGAAUCACUGGGCGUAAAGGGUGCGUAGGCGGGUCUUUAAGUCAGGGGUGAAAUCCUGGAGCUCAACUCCAGAACUGCCUUUGAUACUGAGGAUCUUGAGUUCGGGAGAGGUGAGUGGAACUGCGAGUGUAGAGGUGAAAUUCGUAGAUAUUAGGAAGAACACCAGUGGCGAAGGCGGCCACCUGGCUCGGUACUGACGCUCAGGUUCGAAAGCGUGGGGAGCAAACAGG